CCUACGGGAGGCAGCAGUGAGGAAUAUUGGUCAAUGGGCGAAAGCCUGAACCAGCAACGCCGCGUGAGGGAUGAAGGCCUUCGGGUCGUAAACCUCUUUUCUGGGAGAAGAGACAAGGACGGUAUCCCAGGAAUAAGUCUCGGCUAACUACGUGCCAGCAGCCGCGGUAAAACGUAGGAGGCAAGCGUUAUCCGGAUUUACUGGGCGUAAAGCGCACGCAGGCGGCUGCGUAAGUCGGACGUGAAAGCUCCUGGCUCAACUGGGAGAGGUCGUUCGAAACUGCGCGGCUUGAGGUUGGAAGAGGAGAGCGGAAUUCCCGGUGUAGUGGUGGAAUGCGUAGAUAUCGGGAGGAACACCAGUGGCGAAAGCGGCUCUCUGGUCCACACCUGACGCUCAGGUGCGAAAGCGUGGGUAGCGAACGGGAUUAGAUACCCCGGUAGUCCACGCUGUAAACGAUGCGAACUAGGUGUUGGUAGUAUUAAACCUAUCAGUGCCGAAGCUAACGCGAUAAGUUCGCCGCCUGGGGACUACGGCCGCAAGGCUAAAACUCAAAGGAAUUGACGG
rnacentral:rRNA from 1 species